rnacentral:rRNA from 1 species
UACGUAGGGGGCAAGCGUUGUCCGGAAUCAUUGGGCGUAAAGAGCGUGUAGGCGGCUUGGUAAGUCCGCUGUGAAAGUCCAGGGCUCAACCCUGGAAUGCCGGUGGAAACUGUCAAGCUUGAGUCCGGAAGAGGCGAGUGGAAUUCCUGGUGUAGCGGUGAAAUGCGCAGAUAUCAGGAAGAACACCCGUGGCGAAGGCGGCUCUCUGGUACGUGACUGACGCUGAGACGCGAAAGCGUGGGGAGCAAACAGG